rnacentral:rRNA from 1 species
AUUGAACGCUGGCGGCAUGCUUUACACAUGCAAGUCGAACGGUAACAGGCCGCAAGGUGCUGACGAGUGGCGAACGGGUGAGUAAUGCAUCGGAACGUGCCCAGUCGUGGGGGAUAACGCAGCGAAAGCUGUGCUAAUACCGCAUACGAUCUAUGGAUGAAAGCGGGGGACCGUAAGGCCUCGCGCGAUUGGAGCGGCCGAUGUCAGAUUAGCUAGUUGGUGGGGUAAAGGCCCACCAAGGCGAGGAUCUGUAGCUGGUAUGAGAGGACGACCGGCCACACGGGGACUGGGACACGGCCCAGACUCCUACGGGAGGCAGCAGUGGGGAAUUUUGGACAAUGGGCGCAAGCCUGAUCCAGCAAUGCCGCGUGCAGGAAGAAGGCCUUCGGGUUGUAAACUGCUUUUGUACGGAACGAAACGGUCUGGGUUAAUACCCCGGGCUAAUGACGGUACCGUAAGAAUAAGCACCGGCUAACUACGUGCCAGCAGCAGCCGCCGUAA